rnacentral:hammerhead_ribozyme from 1 species
AUCCAGCUAACGAGUCCCAAACAGGACAAAAUGCGCGUCCUGGAU